rnacentral:rRNA from 1 species
CUGGCGGCGUGCUUACACAUGCAAGUCGAACGAACUUCGGGUUAGUGGCGGACGGGUGAGUAACGCGUGAGAAUCUGCCCUCAGGAGGGGGACAACAGCUGGAAACGGCUGCUAAUACCCCAUAUGCCGCGAGGUGAAAUGAAUUUCGCCUGAGGAUGAGCUCGCGUCUGAUUAGCUAGUUGGUGUAGGUAAUGGCUCACCAAGGGCAUCGAUCAGUAGCUGGUCUGAGAGGAUGAUCAGCCACACUGGGACUGAGACACGGCCCAGACUCCUACGGGAGGCAGCAGUGGGGAAUUUUCCGCAAUGGGCGAAAGCCUGACGGAGCAACGCCGCGUGAGGGAUGAAGGCCUCUGGGCUGUAAACCUCUUUUAUCAAGGAAGAAGAUCUGACGGUACUUGAUGAAUAAGCCACGGCUAAUUCCGUGCCAGCAGCCGCGGUAAUACGGGAGUGGCAAGCGUUAUCCGGAAUUAUUGGGCGUAAAGCGUCCGCAGGCGGCCCUUCAAGUCUGCUGUUAAAAAGUGGAGCUUAACUCCAUCAUGGCAGUGGAAACUGUUGGGCUUGAGUGUGGUAGGGCGCAGAGGGAAUUCCCGGUGUAAGCGGUGAAAUGCGUAGAUAUCGGGAAGAACAACCAGUGGCGAAAGCGCUCUGCUGGGCCAUCACUGACGCUC